AUGAACGCUGGCGGCGUGCCUAAUACAUGCAAGUCGAGCGAACAGACGAGGAGCUUGCUCCUCUGACGUUAGCGGCGGACGGGUGAGUAACCCGUGGAUAACCUACCUAUAAGACUGGGAUAACUUCGGGAAACCGGAGCUAAUACCGGAUAAUAUAUUGAACCGCAUGGUUCAAUAGUGAAAGACGGUUUUGCUGUCACUUAUAGAUGGAUCCGCGCCGCAUUAGCUAGUUGGUAAGGUAACGGCUUACCAAGGCAACGAUGCGUAGCCGACCUGAGAGGGUGAUCGGCCACACUGGAACUGAGACACGGUCCAGACUCCUACGGGAGGCAGCAGUAGGGAAUCUUCCGCAAUGGGCGAAAGCCUGACGGAGCAACGCCGCGUGAGUGAUGAAGGUCUUCGGAUCGUAAAACUCUGUUAUUGGGAAGAACAAAUGUGUAAGUAACUAUGCACGUCUUGACGGUACCUAAUCAGAAAGCCACGGCUAACUACGUG
rnacentral:rRNA from 1 species